GAGUGUGUGGAAUUUAUAAUCAAAAUAGAGUUUCUAAAUAUCAAAAAUUAAAGAAAAAAAUGCUUUUUGUCUGCUCACGUUGAAAUGGGUAAGCAAUUGCAAUGCAAUUAAGUGCAAAUCUAUUCAACAGAGAAAAGGAAACUUAUAAGAGCCCUGUGCUUUGCUAUAUUGAAUAUAUGGAAAUUAUUUCAAAACGGAAUCUCUCAGAUUCCGUCUCCGGAUUCAGGGUCAACCCUAGUCGGGCACUCGCCAUAACCUAAUGCUAUUAAAAUGAAACUUGGGCAAGCGUCUUUUAACCAAAUGGGCCUUCGCUUUUCACCAGUUUUCCACAACUUCGACUGGAAUUAUAGAUCCCCAAUUCGCCAAAAAGGCCAGCUCUAGAGAUA